ensembl:lncRNA
CACAGUGCUGUGACAUGGAUGGCUUCUGCAGAUAUCCCUUACACCCUCAGCCCCCCCCCCUGCUUCUCGGACUCCCACAGUUUCUGAGAGGACCGCCAUCACCAUCCCAGGAUCCCCAUAUCCCACCGACGAGGAACCCCACAGCAAUCCACAUCUCAGGAUGGGGCUUCAGCUGUGCCCCGAUGCGUUCAUUCAAGAGAGGAGAAUGAAUGAGCGUAAGGGGGCGCCUUUCCUCCUGACAUUGCCCACCGCCUGCGUGUUGGCUGUGCCGUGCCAGCAGCAUUUUGUCCUCGAGCUGUGAGUGCAGGUAUGCGUGCAUACGGGGGUGUGCAGAGAUGGUGCUGAAC